rnacentral:rRNA from 1 species
GACGAACCGAGCGAACGUUGUUCGGAAUCACUGGGCUUAAAGGGCGCGUAGGCGGGUGCUCAAGUCCGGGGUGAAAUCCUCCAGCUCAACUGGAGAACUGCCUCGGAUACUGGGUGUCUCGAGGGUGGUAGGGGUAUGCGGAACUAUCGGUGGAGCGGUGAAAUGCGUUGAUAUCGAUAGGAACUCCGGUGGCGAAGGCGGCAUACUGGACCACUUCUGACGCUGAGGCGCGAAAGCCAGGGGAGCAAACGGG